rnacentral:tRNA from 1 species
GGGGCCAUAGCUCAAUUGGGAGAGCGCCUGCUUUGCAAGCAGGAGGUCGUCGGUUCGAUUCCGACUGGCUCCACCA